rnacentral:rRNA from 1 species
UACGAAGGGGGCGAGCGUUGUUCGGAUUUACUGGGCGUAAAGGGCGCGCAGGCGGCUUAUUUUGUCAGGCGUGAAAGCCCCGGGCUUAACCUGGGAACUGCGUUUGAUACGGAUGGGCUAGAGUUCGGGAGAGGAGAGUGGAAUUCCCAGUGUAGAGGUGAAAUUCGUAGAUAUUGGGAAGAACACCGGUGGCGAAGGCGGCUCUCGUGGACCGAGACGUGACGCUGAGGCGCGAAAGCGUGGGGAGCAAACAGG